rnacentral:lncRNA from 1 species
GUCCGUGGCCGUCCGUCAGCACACGCAGGACGUCCGUGGCUUGUCCGUGUGUGUCCGUGUGUCCGUCAGUACACACAGGACGUCCGUCAGUACACACAGGACGUCCGUCAGUACACACAGGACGUCCGUGACCGUCCGUCAGCACACGCAGGACGUCCGUGGCUUUCCGUGUGUGUCCGUCAGUACACACAGGACGUCCGUCAGUACACACAUGACGUCCGUCAGCACACGCAGGACGUCCGUGGCUGUCCGUGUGUGUCCGUGUGUCCGUCAGUACACACAGGACGUCCGUCAGUACACACAGGACGUCCGUCAGCACACACAGGACGUCCGUCAGCACACGCAGGACGUCCAUGGCUGUCCGUGUGUGUCCGUGUGUCCGUCAGUACACACAGGACGUCCGUCAGUACACACAGGACGUCCGUCAGCACACACAGGACGUCCGUCAGCACACGCAGGACGUCCGUGGCUGUCCGUGUGUGUCCGUGUGUCCGUCAGUACACACAGGACGUCCGUCAGUACACACAGGACGUCCGUGGCCGUCCGUCAGCACACACAGGACGUCCGUCAGUACACACAGGACGUCCGUGGCCGUCCGUCAGCACACACAGGACGUCCGUCAGUGCACACAGGACGUCCGUCAGUACACACAGGACGUCCGUCAGUACACACAGGACGUCCGUGGCCGUCCGUCAGCGCACGCAGGACGUCCGUGGCCGUCCGUCAGCACACGCAGGACGUCCGUGUGUGUCCGUGUGUCCGUCAGUACACACAGGACGUCCGUCAGUACACACAGGACGUCCGUCAGCACACACAGGACGUCCGUCAGCACACGCAGGACGUCCGUGGCUGUCCGUGUGUGUCCGUGUGUCCGUCAGUACACACAGGACGUCCGUCAGUACACACAGGACGUCCGUGGCCGUCCGUCAGUACACACAGGACGUCCGUGGCCGUCCGUCAGCACACACAGGACGUCCGUCAUGCACACAGGACGUCCGUCAGUACACACAGGACGUCCGUCAGUACACACAGGACGUCCGUGGCCGUCCGUCAGCGCACGCAGGACGUCUGUGGCCGUCCGUCAGCACACGCAGGACGUCCGUGGCUGUCCGUGUGUGUCCGUCAGUACACACAGGACGUCCGUCAGUACACACAGGACGUCCGUCAGUACACACAUGACGUCCGUCAGCACACGCAGGACGUCCGUGGCUGUCCGUGUGUGUCUGUGUGUCCGUCAGUACACACAGGACGUCCGUCAGUACACACAGGACGUCCGUCAGCACACAGGACGUCUGUCAGUACACGCAGGACGUCCGUGGCUGUCCGUCAGUACACACAUGACGUCCGUCAGUACACACAUGACGUCCGUCAGCACACGCAGGACGUCCGUGGCUGUCCGUGUGUGUCUGUGUGUCCGUCAGUACACACAGGACGUCCGUCAGUACACACAGGACGUCCGUCAGCACACAGGACGUCCGUCAGUACACGCAGGACGUCCGUGGCUGUCCGUGUGUGUCCGUGUGUCCGUCAGUACACACAGGACGUCUGUCAGUACACACAGGACGUCCGUCAGCACACACAGGACGUCCGUCAGCACACGCAGGACGUCCGUGGCUGUCCGUGUGUGUCCGUGUGUCCGUCAGUACACACAGGACAUCCGUCAGUACACACAGGACGUCCGUGGCCGUCUGUCAGUACACACAGGACGUCCGUGGCCGUCCGUCAGCACACACAGGACGUCCGUCAGUGCACACAGGACGUCCGUGGCCGUCCGUCAGCGCACGCAGGACGUCCGUGGCCGUCCGUCAGCACACGCAGGACGUCCGUGUGUGUCCGUGUGUCCGUCAGUGCACACAGGACGUCCGUCAGUACACACAGGACGUCCGUGGCCGUCCGUCAGCACACGCAGGACGUCCGUGGCUGUCCGUGUGUGUCCGUGUGUCCGUCAGUACACACAGGACGUCCGUCAGUACACACAGGACGUCCGUCAGUACACACAGGACGUCCGUGGCCGUCCGUCAGCACACGCAGGACGUCCGUGGCUUGUCCGUGUGUGUCCGUGUGUCCGUCAGUACACACAGGACGUCCGUCAGUACACACAGGACGUCCGUGACCGUCCGUCAGCACACGCAGGACGUCCGUGGCUGUCCGUGUGUGUCCGUCAGUACACACAGGACGUCCGUCAGUACACACAUGACGUCCGUCAGCACACGCAGGACGUCCGUGGCUGUCCGUGUGUGUCCGUGUGUCCGUCAGUACACACAGGACGUCCGUCAGUACACACAGGACGUCCGUCAGCACACACAGGACGUCCGUCAGCACACGCAGGACGUCCAUGGCUGUCCGUGUGUAUCCGUGUGUCCGUCAGUACACACAGGACGUCCGUCAGUACACACAGGACGUCCGUCAGCACACACAGGACGUCCGUCAGCACACGCAGGACGUCCGUGGCUGUCCGUGUGUGUCCGUGUGUCCGUCAGUACACACAGGACGUCCGUCAGUACACACAGGACGUCCGUGGCCGUCCGUCAGUACACACAGGACGUCCGUGGCCGUCCGUCAGGACACACAGGACGUCCGUCAGUGCACACAGGACGUCCGUGGCCGUCCGUCAGCACACACAGGACGUCCGUCAGCACACGCAGGACGUCCGUGGCUGUCCGUCUGUGUCCGUGUGUCCGUCAGUACACACAGGACGUCCGUCAGUACACACAGGACGUCCGUCAGCACACACAGGACGUCCGUGGCCGUCCGUCAGUACAGACAGGACGUCCGUGGCCGUCCAUCAGUACACAUAUCAGCACGCUGGCCCUUCCUGUGGACUGUUCGGGUGAUUUUGGCCCACGUGGGCUGUCUGUUCAGUACACACAGGACGUCCGUCAGCACACGCAGGACGUACGUGCCUGUCCGUCAGCACACACAGACAGUCCGUGGACUGCCCGUCAGUACAUAUAUCAGCAUGCUGACCACACAUAUCAGCAUGCUGGUCCUUCCCAUGGACUGUCCGUGUACUGAUUUUGGACAACUGAUGCACCAUGUCAGUACAUGUAAGACCCGAUCCUGGAUUCCUCAAUCCAACCAGACCGCGGCCUCACUAAACAACACAACCAGUUCCAUGUUUCAUAUUCAAGUUCAAGUGUUAAAUAAUUCUAAGUCUUUUUCAGAGUUUUGGAGGUUCCAACGUUCACACUUAAACAAUCAAGCAACAACUAAUGCAAAUAGAUAUUUCAUAGAUAUUAACCAAGGUUCAUACAUCAUUCAUCAUCCUAAUAAAUAGAAUACACACUAGAAUCGCAUAAGUUCACAAGUUGCACAAUAGGCUACAAUAAUCACACAAUUUUCAGAAUCAACCCAAUCACCACACAUCUUCCCAUGGCCGCGGUCCUCAUGGUGCUUUUCCCUUACCACGGUCCAUUUCUGGUCCUGGAUCCAACACAAACAAACACACAAUCGCAAGGUUAGAUUACAAUACAAGCAUCAAUCACAUUGCAUGGUCGGAUCCAAUCUAAUCAAGAACAAUCAUCAAAAAUGUCAAAUCUGACCCCUCUAAAAAGAGAUCCAAAUACCAAAUAAAAUUCAUGAAAACUCAUGAUAAUUCAGAAGAAAAAUAUUCCCAUAAUCAGAUUCAAAAGAAUCGGCUCAGAUCAUAGUGAUCUCGGCCAUGAACAGCCCACACAAGAACAAGGGACUUUCAUGGGAAUUUGAUCAGGCCAAGGCCUUAAGAUCAAUGGAUCCUUCCCUGUAACAUCAUAAAUCAAUCCAUAGCACAACAUAUAUGAAGAAACAGAGUAGAAGAAGUCAGAGUAAGGAGUGGCCAAUCGAUCCAAACCGGCCAGGCUCACACGGCCAUCAUCCGCGGCCUUGUCCGGUUACUCUUGGCCACACCUCUCACCUUAGGAGUUCGGUCUCCAGGAGCGACUUCCUUCUCCUUCUCCUUUGCCUUCUCCUUGUCUUUCUGUCUCAAAUCCAUUCUCUUGAUCACACGCCCAAACACACCAGGAACACUCAAGAGCAAUCUCUUGGAUCAAAUCGGCCAAUCCAAGGUUUGUGUCUCUCUUUCUCUCCUGAAUUUUCUCUGUGUUUCUCUCUGUGUCUAGUUGAGUAAAAAUCGACCAGUCUGGCAGAAAUGAGAGGGAGAAGACGAUUUAAACUGUCCCCAACCGCCUGGGCGAACAGUUACCAACCAAUCACAUCCCUUCUUCCCAAAACUGCCCCAUAACCGCCCAUUGGCGGUAUCUCCCCUUUUCUUCCUUUGGCAAAUCGAUCACUGAGCCUCAGCUCACACUCUGGAAGUUUGCCCACUCCCUGUCCCAAGCCUAAGACCCAUUUGGUCGAACCGUCCUGCACCCGGACCAUCGGCUCGCCCAGUAACCGUUCCGGACUCGCCCGCACUGAACCGAACCAAAACGCACCGUUCACCGGAUUGAGCUGACCUCUAGCUGUUCCCAGCUGAGUGAGCUAGUUCUCCAGCUCCUGUGAGCUGAACAGAUCUUGGUGAACUGAAUACCAGCUGAACCGAGCUGAUUGAACUCAAACCAACACUCGUCCAGCUGCCUAAACACUCACCCAGCUCCUUUACCCUUGUUUCCAUCGUAUCCUGGUUAAGUCUCAACUGACUGAUGCCCUUAACCUUCAUUCAGGGCCAUGAUACGCUUGUCUUAAGGUCUAGUGACCUGACUGGUGCGUCUCCCCGCACCAUGGCCCGUCUGGCCGAUCCUAUCUAGGAUCGGGGACAUGACAAGUCUCCCCCACUAACUUGGGAUUCGUCCUCGAAUCCAUGUUAAGUGUUUCAUCAGGAAGAAAUUGUCUGUACCAAUCCGGAUACAUACUUUUCAUUUUUGCUUCCGUUUCCCAAGUGAUGAGGUCUUUACCAUUGUAAUCCCACACCACUUUGAUCAUGGGAACUGUCUUCUUUCUCAUAGCUUUCUCUGACCGAUCCACAAUCCGAACCGGCAAAGUUUCCAAGUCAGGUCCUUACCAAGGUCAGUAGGAACCUCGGGCAAGACAAUGUCUUGUUCAGACAAGCAUUUCCGGAGUUGGGAUACAUGGAACACAUUGUGGUAUGCAUCCAUUGCUGAUGGCAAGUCCAACUUGUAUGCCACUGCACCCACUCUCUCUAUGAUUCUGAAUGGACCCAAGUACCUAGGAUCCAGUUUCUUUCGUCCAGAAACCCUGGUCCUACCCUUAAAGGUAAUCAUCUUUAGAUACACCAGGUCAUUGACCUCAAACUCAAGAUGUUUUCUACGCUUGUCUGCAUAGCUCUUUUGGCGGUCUUGCGCCUCUUUCAUCUUCUCUUUGACCAUCCUGAUUUUCUCAGUGGUCUGUUCUACAAUCUCAGGACCCAACAUGCUACGCUCCCCCACUUGGGUCCAGCAUAGGGGUGUCCUGCACGGCCUACCAUACAAAGCCUCAUAUGGCGACAUACCAAUGCUUGUAUGGAAGCUGUUGUUAUAAGCAAAUUCCACUAAGGGAAAGUGUUUUUCCCAAGACUCUCCCCAGUCUAACACACAUGCCCUUAGCAUAUCCUCCAAGGUUUGGAUUGUCCUUUCAGACUGCCCAUCCGUUUGAGGAUGAUAAGAUGUGCUCAUAUUCACUCUGGUUCCCAAGGCCUUUUGGAAAGCCUGCCAGAAAUAAGAUGUAAAUCUUGGAUCCCUAUCCGAGACAAUGCUUGCUGGAACACCAUGCAACCUCACUAUCUCGUCUAUGUACACUUGCACAAUCCUGUCGACCCCAUCCCUUUCUUGAUGGGCAGGAAAUGAGCCGACUUGGUCAGCCGAUCAACCACAACCCAUACCGCAUCUUUCUUAUUCCUGGUUGUGGGAAACCCAGUCACAAAAUCCAUUGUGAUGUGAUCCCAUUUCCAUUCUGGUAUGGGUAGGUUCUGGAGUAGACCACUGGGAACCUGAUGUUCUGCCUUCACCAGUUGACAAGUGGGACACUUAGCCACCCACUCUGCAACAUCAGAUUUCAUCCUCACCCAAUGGUAGUACCUUUUCAGAUCCCUAUACAUCUUGUUCAGUCCAGGAUGAACUGAAAACUUAGACUUAUGAGCCUGUCUCAUAAUCUCUUCUUUGAGUUCCUUAUCAUUAGGAACACUGACCCUCCCAUUGACCAAGAUGGUACCAUUCUCAGUUGUCUGGUACUCAGUCUUGUCAUUGGCGGCUACCUUCUUUAGGUUUUCAUCCAGGCCCUGUGCUUGCCUGAUCCUGGUCAGGAGAUCGGCCUGGUUCACUGCCUCCAACCCCAAUGGCUCAUCUGAACCAACCAAGGUGUUGAGGUUCAAGGACCUGAUCAUCCCUUCCAGUUCAUCCGCCUCCCUCUCAGAUGACACUUCAGCCCUUCUGCGGCUCAAAGCAUCAGCCACUAGGUUAGCUUUUCCAGGAUGAUAAGCUAUGUCCAGAUCAUAAUCUGCAACAAACUCCAUCCAUCGCCUCUGCCUUAAGUUUAACUCAGGCUGAGUGAAUAUGUACUUCAAGCUCUUAUGGUCUGUGAGUAUUUGCACCUUGGCACCAUAAAGAUAUGAUCUCCAUAUCUUUAAUGCAAAUACUACUGCAGCCAUCUCCAAAUCAUGAGUCGGAUAGUUACCCUCAUGCUUCCUUAGCUGUCUGGAAGCAUAGGCUAUCACCUUCCCAUGUUGUGUCAAAACACAACCAAGACCAGUUAUGGAUGCAUCCGUAUACACCACAUAAGGCUGAUCAGCCUCAGGCAACACCAGGACAGGUGCAUUAGUCAACAUGUUCUUGAGUGCUGCAAAACUUUCCUCACACUCCUCAGACCAUGUGAACCUCACGUCCUUGCCUGUCAGCUUAGUCAUAGGUUGAGCUAUGCUCGAGAACCCCUUGACAUAUUUCCUGUAAUAACCAGCCAACCCCAAGAAGCUUCUAACUUCCGUAGCAUUCUUUGGCUGUGGCCAUUCCUGAAUACAUUUGAUCUUAUCUUGAUCCACUGAGACUCCUUUAUCAGACACCACAUGUCCAAGGAACCCAAUGCUCUUCUGCCAGAAGCUACACUUGCUUAGCUUAGCAAAGAGCUUCUGUUCUCUCAGGCGGCCCAACACCGCCCUAAGGUGUCUUUCAUGGUCCUCCUUUGUCUUGGAAUACACGAGUAUAUCAUCAAUGAAGAUGAUCACAAACUCGUCCAAGUAUUCCCUGAAGAUGCCGUUCAUCAUCUUCAUGAAUGCAGCAGGUGCAUUGGUCAGUCCGAACGGCAUAACCACAAACUCAUAGUGGCCAUACCUAGUCCGGAACGCUGUCUUUCUCACAUCAUCUGGUGCAAUGGGGAUCUGAUGAUACCCAGAGGCCAGGUCAAUCUUGGAGAACCACUUGGCUCCACGGAGUUGAUCUAACAACUCAUCAAUCCUGGGUAAAGGGUACUUGUUCUUCACAGUCACCCUGUUCAAACCCCUAUAAUCAAUGCACAACCUAAAGCUACCAUCCUUUUUCUUACAAAUAGGACUGGUGCUCCCCAAGGUGAUACACUAGGGCGUAUGAACCCCUUCUCAAGCAACUCCUCAAGUUGCUUCUUCAGCUCUGCCAUCUCAGCUGGUGCCAUUCUAUAUGGACUUUUUGAUAAUGGGGCCGUUCCAGGUUCCAAUUCAAUGAUGAAUGGGUCAGCCCUAUCAGGGGGAAUGCCCUGUAGUGCCCCAAACACAUCCUGAAAUUCCCGAACCAACGGUAUACCCUCUGGGUCACAGGCCCCUACAACCUCAUCAGUGUAAAUGGUAGCCAAAAAGGCCUCACAACCAUUUCCAAGCAUCCGUUCUACUUGGACUGCUGAAACCACCAAACUACAAGAGGUUGGCUUGAUUCCUUGGUACUUGAUCGGGGGUCCAAACUCGUUCUCAAGUUGCACCCUUCCCCGGUGACAAUCUAGAGUUGCCCGAUACUUUCCCAACCAGUCCAUGCCCAAGAUCACUUCAUGAUGCUUGAGGGGGACAACAAUCAGAUCUAUAGGCAUCGGCCUAUCCAAGAUCACCACAGGGAUGUCCUUAACCAGACCGAGUGAGUUCAUAACUUGCCCUCCGGCCGCACUCACUCGUUCAGGACCAUCCCAUGCUCCAUACUGGAACAAACCUUUUCCUAUCAUACUUGGACUCACAAAACUAUGUGUAGCUCCAGUAUCAAAUAAUGUGUGUGUUUCCACACCACCAAUACUUAAGGUCCCUACACAAGACCCAUCAAAGUAUAUCUAUCCAUCCUAGAUUCCAUACCAUGCAAUUCUACUGGAAUUGUAAAAGUAGUAGUCUAGAAUGUUACCAGUGAUCGCUUGGAAAGGCUGAGUCCCAACCACCUCCUUGGAUAGCUCAUACACACGAGGUGUUGAGGUCUGGCCUCGUCCCUGGACUGGCCUGCUAGCCUCCCCACGUCCCUUACUUUGGUUGCCUUGCAGCUUAGGGCAGUCCCUGCGGUAGUGGCCCUUCUGGCCGCAGUGGUGACAGGUCCUGGACUCACCCAACGGACUUGGACAAUCCUUGGCUGAGUGAUCCAUCUUACCACAUCGAGUACAGGCACCCAUGGCCUUCCAGCACUCUCCACCGUGGUAUCGUCCACACUUAGGGCACUCUGACCUACCACUUGAGGUUUUACCCUCCUCGGUCGAGUCCCUCUUCCUCUUCUUGUCACCACUCUGACCCGAGGAUACCACCACACUCUUCAUCUUCUGCUUACCCUCCUCGGUGAGGUUGGUCUCCAGCAAGGCCAUCCUCUCAACCAACUCAGAAACCGUGUGGAACUUACAAACAGAACAGUAGGUUCGAAGUUCCACCCUUAGGCCUCGGAUGAACCUUCGGACUUGAACCUUCUCAUCCUCCAGUUCUCUUCCCACAUACCUCCUGAGUCGGUUGAACUCUUCUUCAUACUCACGAACAGUCCUCCGUCCCUGAGUCAAGUCCAGGAACUUGGACUCCAAACGAUCCCACGCCUCAGCAGGAAAGUACUUAUGGUUGAACUCAACCUCAAAGUCAGCAAAGUGCUCAAUGGUACCAUUGGUACGCUUGUCCAAAGCUAACCACCAAUUAUGUGCAUCUCCCUCCAGGAAGUGUACUGCUAUGUCCUUCUGGAAAUCCUCAGGACAUCGUGUGGACUUGAAGUUUCGAACCAACCUGGUUCUCCACUCGUCCGCCUCCAUAGGAUCAACACUUCCAGCAAAGUGUUUGGUUCCCAACUUGGAGAUAUGCUCCAGCACCUUCAGGUAGUCCAUACCACGCACUGGCCUGACCGGUGGGUCUAUCUCAAUCACCUCAGCCACACGGCCAGCACCAACAUCAGCCGCUCCAGCAGCAACCCGAACCGGGGGAUUAGCCUGUCCCACGGACGAGUUCACCAAUGGUGUGAAUGCCUGUGUCAAGGAGGCUAUCUGAGCCCCAUGAUUUGCAUAGCCUCCACCAAGCCCCUUAUGGUCGGCUCAAUGACCUCCUCGGCACCAGUGACCCGAACAUUGUUUGCAUCAACAUUCUGGCCACUCCCAGCACCCACGUUGGACGACCCAGUAUCGUCUCCAUGGACUUGCUCUUGCUGCUCGUCCACAUUAGUUUCAUUAACCCCAGUAGGAAGAGUUGGACCCACUGGAAGUCCGGUUGCAUUGUCCACCUGCUCCACCAGAGCGGGUAGCACUAGGGUUGGAAUGGUUCCAGCUGGUAACACUCCGGUCUGUUCAGCACCAUCCUGCCCCACUGCUCCAGACGCUCCAGUUGCCUCCUUUCCUUUCCGAGAUUUGUACCUUCUUGUACCCUUAGGAGUUAUAAACACAAACAAAAGGUUAGUCCAAAACUGAACACACAAACCUCAAUCACUCCUAAGUUAUUCAGUCCAAAAGAUUACUUAGAACCCAACUAUCUCACCAUGAGUCCAAACGGCCAAGUGUGUGGUGAACCAAUAACCCAACAAAUCCUAGAAUCAAGAAUGCUCUGAUACCAACUUGUAAGACCCGAUCCUGGAUUCCUCAAUCCAACCAGACCGCGGCCUCACUAAACAACACAACCAGUUCCAUGUUUCAUAUUCAA